UUACUAAAAAAAUUUAUUAGAAUAUUAUUUGUUGGUCUAAAUUAAUUUUAAAAGUAUUGGCGGUAAUAAGUUAAAUUCUGAGGAACUUGUUUGUUUAAAUUGAUAUUUCACAUUAAAUUUCACUUAUAAUAAUUUUUAUGUAUUGCUGUUUUAUUAUUUAUUUAUUAAAAUUAAUUAAUAGGAUUUACAUAAAUUUUGUAAAGAAAUUCAAGUCAAAAUGUAGAUUUUUAUAAGGAUAAAUGAGUUACAAUUAUAUUAAGGUAUGAAACUGUAAAGUUAAUUGAAAAUAUUAAUGAAUAAGGUUGGAUUAGGGUGUAAAAAAAAAAUAAUUAAUUUUUUUGAUAUGAUUUACUUUUAUGU
rnacentral:rRNA from 1 species